rnacentral:sRNA from 2 species
CCAUAGCCCCAGAUAGAAGGGAAAAUCCUUUUGUGCCGGCGUUCGGUACAAAAGAUUGGAAUGAUAGCUGGAAAUAGC